UACGUAGGGACCAAGCGUUGUUCGGAUUUACUGGGCGUAAAGGGCUCGUAGGCGGCCAACUAAGUCGGACGUGAAAUCCCCAGGCUCAACCUGGGAACUGCGUCUGAUACUGGAUGGCUUGAAUUCGGGAGAGGGAUGCAGAAUUCCAGGUGUAGCGGUGAAAUGCGUAGAUAUCUGGAGGAAUACCGGUGGCGAAGGCGGCAUCCUGGACCGACAUUGACGCUGAGGAGCGAAAGCUAGGGGAGCAAACGGG
rnacentral:rRNA from 1 species